rnacentral:lncRNA from 1 species
GGGGGAGGUUGGGUGGUUUAGGGUUUAAAAGUAUAAUUGGCGAGGUUUUGAAGUGUGAUUUAUGACUAAUUAAGAUUUUUUUUUGUAUUUUCUUGUUUAUUCUCUUUUUCUUAGCUUUCUAUUUGUAUUUUUAGUACGAAUGUAAUGCGACUGAUUUUUGUAAACUCUCCCUCUCUCUUUCUAAGUCCCUCCUCAAUUUUGAAAUUGACCACCUUUAUAUAGGCAUCAAAUAAGGGUAGAUAAACAGUGUAAUUUC